GUAUUGUAAAUAUUAUUAAUAUAAGUAGUAGUUGUAAAUCCAAUAUCAUUAUAAUUGACACCCAGAUCCAAUGGAUAGCAUGGCUCCUAUUUUUCCUUCAUCAGUCUCUUCCUAUAUAGGUGUAACUUAAAAUAAUAAAUGCUUAAAAAACCUCACUUAAGCGAGAUCUAGAGAUUGCUUACAAAAUAAAUUAUGUAGUUCACUGUCAAGUUUAGUUAAUGAUAAUCAAUUAUACA